CCUACGGGUGGCAGCAGUUGGGAAUCUUGGACAAUGGGGGGAACCCUGAUCCAGCGACGCCGCGUGAGUGAAGAAGUAUUUCGGUAUGUAAAGCUCUAUCAGCAGGGAAGAAACUGACGGUACCUGACUACGAAGCCCCGGCUAACUACGUGCCAGCAACCGCGGUAAUACGUCGGGGGCAAGCGUUCUCCGGAUUUACUGGGUGUAAAGGGGGCGUAGACGGUUCAGCAAGUCUGAUGUGAAAGGUAGGGGCCCAACCCCGGGACUGCAAUGGAAACUGGGGAACUGGAGUACAGGAGAGGUAAGCGGAAUUCCUAGGGUAGCGGUGAAAUGCGUAGAUAUGAGGAGGAACACCAGUGGCGAAGGCGGCUUACUGGACUGUAACUGACGUUGAGGCUCGAAAGCGUGGGGAGCAAACAGGAUUAGAUACCCGAGUAGUC
rnacentral:rRNA from 1 species